UAGGUGCCAAACUGGGGGCAUUAUUUUUUUCACCUUAAACUCAUACAUGGUUACAAACAAAUAGACAGACGUUUACAGUAUAAUCCUCCUACACAUACCAGAGUUAUGGGUAGGGUCUGCGGAGGGUGUGAUGGGGCAAACCUUACCUCUAUCCCAGGGAACAAAUAGAGAUGUCCAACUCCAAAGACAUAGUUAUAGUUGCUUACUUCCGGACCAAACAUCAAUGUCCAAACUGCAGUCUGAGGCAAGAUUCAGAUCUAUGUUGUUGUGGGAGUGUUUUCCACCACUCCACAAAUGUAGAUUUCUCCAAAAACACAUCAUUGUUGAGCUCUUCUGUCUGAACCCACUCCCUCACUUGUUUCUCUAGACCAACAAUCUGAUCCUUAACUUCAGCAAACGGUUUCCUCCUCAGCUCUUCCACUUUAGCCCAAAAAAUGGUCUCCGAGCUAGACCCUUCAUUGAGCCUAUGAGCAUGCUCGUGCCACCUUUGAGUAUACUUGUAACGUUUCGGUCGACCACCAUCUCUCAAGUAGGUUCCAGUGUCCUCAUCUUUCGAGUGCCUAUAAUAGUUAGCUAUGUCUAGUGGCUCCACCAGUUUCCUGAACUUGGUUCCAAGCUCGACCCACUCGGGCCGGCUCUCGAACCCAUCUGGGAGUUCGUAUCGUUUCAACAUCUCUACAAUCUCAUCCCAAAUGCCUGCAAGUUCCAGCCUUUUCACAUUUGCAUUGAAGUCAGGAGUACCCUUUUGAAUCUUGAAAGCGUCAUAAUAACCGAUCUUGCGAUCGUUACACGCCUUUUGAUAAUCGGCUAUCACAUCGUGCAUUUUUAUGAUCAUUGGUAUCUUUGAAUCAAUCGUCUUUUGGUAUUCCAACUUUUUCUUUUCAAAUGCUUGUGCUGCUCGAAGACAUAGCCUAGCUCGCGCCAAGAUCCUUUAGAGCUGCGUUUAUAGAUGCAGUGUCACCGGAAGCAUUAGUGUUUGCAGACAAUGGGAUCUCCGUAUCAUCAUCAUCAUCAUCGUCCAAGUACACAACAUCUUGCAUCCCUAAUAAACUGUCUUCUAGUUCCUUAUUGUAAUCCAUAUAUAAGCUUCUGCUUGUUGCAUCUUUAACUUCAGACUCAUCACCGGGCUGACAACAAUAAAACAGAAUCUGAAGAACUGCAUUUGGGUUCUUUACACAAACCAGUUUCCCAUUUCCGGUACAAAAGAUAAAGGUUCCGGAAGGUCUGUAAGGACUAAGUUCAACAAAACUGGAUAUGAUUUCAAGUAAUGAGUUGGUACUCCCCAUUAGAUUACAAGCUGCGUGACUAGCAACAGACGAUGCGUUCUUCAAAACCGUUUUGAAAAAAGUCAAAGCUUCUUGGGAGAUCAGGAUGGAUGAUUUAUGAAAGUUGCUUGAUUUCGGAUUGAAGAAAUCAAGAAUUUGACCAAAUUCAGUUUUAAGGGAGGAGUAGGGGGCUAGUGUUAUUCGAGGAACAAUGUCGUAUCUUCCUACUAAAUGCAGAAAGAAACGAGCCCAGUUCUCUCGGUUUAGAGCGUGUGUGAAUAUACGGUCGCCUACAAGUGGUGACCCAAAAGUUAAACAUUUACACGGGUCGCCGCUAGAUCUUGUGUACUUCUCCAGGUACCAGACGGCUGCUAAGAUCGCCACCGGGCCACCCGAAGAGUGACCUGUGAAUAUUAUGGGCUUUGCUUUCUUGAUUGCUUUCUCCACCUGCACCUGCAAUGUUUGCAGAAGAAGAGCUUGAAAUCGACGAAAGAAGCCUUGAUUGAUCUUUGCAGGUUCGUUAUUACCGACGCUUUUUAGUGAUGGAAAGAGUGAAGGAUCGAUGGUAAUCUCUCCAAAAGGCUCAUGGGAGUAAAAAUCUUGAUCAGCCCAUGAUCCACCAAACGCAAAAACAGUAUCCUCACUGCCAGAUUCCUUUAUAUACCCACUGGACUUGUGUGAUCUCACAGCUAAACAACAAGCUUUUAUCAUCUGAGCUUCUGUAACACCUAAUUUCUCUUCCAUCUCUCUUGU
rnacentral:lncRNA from 1 species